AUUGAACGCUGGCGGCAGGCUUAACACAUGCAAGUCGAGCGGGGGAAGGUAGCUUGCUACCGGACCUAGCGGCGGACGGGUGAGUAAUGCUUAGGAAUCUGCCUAUUAGUGGGGGACAACAUCUCGAAAGGGAUGCUAAUACCGCAUACGUCCUACGGGAGAAAGCAGGGAUCUUCGGACCUUGCGCUAAUAGAUGAGCCUAAGUCGGAUUAGCUAGUUGGUGGGGUAAAGGCCUACCAAGGCGACGAUCUGUAGCGGGUCUGAGAGGAUGAUCCGCCACACUGGGACUGAGACACGGCCCAGACUCCUACGGGAGGCAGCAGUGGGGAACAUUGGACAAUGGGGGGAACCCUGAUCCAGCCAUGCCGCGUGUGUGAAGAAGGCCUUAUGGUUGUAAAGCACUUUAAGCGAGGAGGAGGCUACUUUAGUUAAUACCUAGAGAUAGUGGACGUUACUCGCAGAAUAAGCACCGGCUAACUCUGUGCCAGCCGCCGCUGUAA
rnacentral:rRNA from 1 species